rnacentral:rRNA from 1 species
AAAGGAAUUGACGGGGGCCCGCACAAGUGGUGGAGCAUGUGGUUUAAUUCGAUGAUACGCGAGGAACCUUACCCGGGCUAGAAUGUUAGCGGAGGGCUCCGAAAGGGGUCCGUCCUUCGGGACGCGAAACAAGGUGCUGCAUGGUUGUCGUCAGCUCGUGCCGUGAGGUGUUGGGUUAAGUCCCGCAACGAGCGCAACCCCUGUUUCCAGUUGCCAGCACGUCAAGGUGGGGACUCUGGAGAGACUGCCUCCGCAAGGAGCGAGGAAGGUGGGGAUGACGUCAAAUCAUCAUGGCCCUUACGCCCGGGGCCACACACGUGCUACAAUGGACGGUACAGCGGGAAGCGGGGGGGUGACCCCGAGCGGAUCCCACAAAGCCGUUCCCAGUUCGGAUCGGAGUCUGCAACCCGACUCCGUGAAGCUGGAAUCACUAGUAAUCGCGGAUCAGCCAUGCCGCGGUGAAUACGUUCCCGGGCCUUGUACACACCGCCCGU